GAAGGGGGGGCAGCUACACAUGCAGUCGAGCGAACCUUCGGGUUAGCGGCGGACGGGUGAGUAACGCGUGGGAACGUACCCUCUUCUGCGGGAUAGCCACUGGAAACGGUGAGUAAUACCGCAUACGCCCUUCGGGGGAAAGAUUUAUCGGAGGAGGAUCGGCCCGCGUUGGAUUAGGUAGUUGGUGGGGUAAUGGCCUACCAAGCCUACGAUCCAUAGCUGGUUUUAGAGGAUGAUCAGCCACACUGGGACUGAGACACGGCCCAGACUCCUACGGGAGGCAGCAGUGGGGAAUCUUAGACAAUGGGCGCAAGCCUGAUCUAGCCAUGCCGCGUGAGUGACGAAGGCCUUAGGGUCGUAAAGCUCUUUCGCCAGAGAUGAUAAUGACAGUAUCUGGUAAAGAAACCCCGGCUAACUCCGUGCCAGCAGCCGCGGUAAUACGGAGGGGGUUAGCGUUGUUCGGAAUUACUGGGCGUAAAGCGCACGUAGGCGGAUUGGAAAGUUGGGGGUGAAAUCCCAGGGCUCAACCCUGGAACUGCCUCCAAAACUCCCAGUCUGGAGUUCGAGAGAGGUGAGUGGAAUUCCGAGUGUAGAGGUGAAAUUCGUAGAUAUUCGGAGGAACACCAGUGGCGAAGGCGGCUCACUGGCUCGAUACUGACG
rnacentral:rRNA from 1 species